UUUAUGGAGAGUUUGAUCCUGGCUCAGGAUGAACGCUGGCGGUGUGCCUAAUACAUGCAAGUCGAGCGAACAGACGAGGAGCUUGCUCCUUUGACGUUAGCGGCGGACGGGUGAGUAACACGUGG
rnacentral:rRNA from 1 species